rnacentral:rRNA from 1 species
UGGGGAAUCUUGCGCAAUGGGCGAAAGCCUGACGCAGCGACGCCGCGUGAGUGAUGAAGGCCUUCGGGUUGUAAAGCUCUGUGGGGAGAGACGAAUAAGCUUUGGCUAAUAUCCAAGGUGAUGACGGUAUCUCCUUAGCAAGCACCGGCUAACUCUGUGCCAGCAGCCGCGGUAAGACAGAGGGUGCAAACGUUGUUCGGAAUUACUGGGCGUAAAGCGCAUGUAGGCGGCCCUGCAGGUCGGAUGUGAA